rnacentral:miRNA from 2 species
UAUUGCACUUGUCCCGGCCUACU